rnacentral:rRNA from 1 species
AGAGUUUGAUCCUGGCUCAGGACGAACGCUGGCGGCGUGCUUAACACAUGCAAGUCUACGAGAAAAAGGUAGCAAUAUCUUGAUUAAAGUGGCGCACGGGUGAGUAACACGUGAGCAAUCUGCCCUUGGAUUUGGAAUAACUCGUCGAAAGACGUGCUAAUACCGAAUGACACGAGAGUAUCGCAUGAUACCUUCGUUAAAGCUGCAGCAAUGUAGCGUCCGAGGAUGAGCUUGCGUCUGAUUAGCUAGUUGGUAGGGUAACGGCCUACCAAGGCAACGAUCAGUAGCUGGUCUGAGAGGAUGAUCAGCCACACUGGAACUGAGACACGGUCCAGAC